rnacentral:misc_RNA from 1 species
UCCGGUUUAACACCGGCAGUCUCUCUAGAGUCCCCGGCUUUACCCGCUGGCAACUAGAGACAAGGGUUUCGCUCGUUAAGGGACUUAACCCGACAUCUCACGACACGAGCUGACGACAGCCAUGCAGCACCUGUGCACGUUUCACCCGAAGGCAGGCCCAUCCCUUUCAGGCGGACCAUCCGUGCAUGUCAAGCCCAGGAUAAGGUUCUUCGCGUAGCCUCGAAUUAAGCCACAUCCUCCACCGCUUGUGUGAGGAAGGUGGGGAUGACGUAUAGGAGCUAGAC